CGAACUGACAAUCGAUUAAAAACAACGACCUGAGGAUUCUAAGCACUGUUUGAAGUUCUUCCUCCAUAGACAAAUCGGAACAUCGGAAGCUGGUCGCUUGGAGUAAAAAAGGAGUAAAAUUUAACGAUUAUUUUUUGUUUCCGAGACUGCUUCACUUUUAUUACCAUCAUACUUAAUGCUGUGCAAGAAAUAAGCCUACAGGGACAACACAAAACAAAACAUCCAUGACAAAAUGAAAUUUGAAUUCGAGGUCAGGAGAUCAAGAGGUAGACGUUCAACUAGCCUCACCAUCGCACCGUCCAUUCUUUGGUUAAUAAUUUUGUUACAAAUUUUAUAUUAUUUCGUUCUAUAUCUGAUUGGUUCGAGAUCUAUUCUACAAUGUCAACCAAAGCUAGUAAUAGAAGCUUUUCUAUGCUUUAUGGCGCGAUAUAUAGAGCUAUAAAGUAUCGAUUUCAUGGCGUUGCUUCUACCAGAACAUUUGUUUAUACACUAUCCAGAAUCAUACAUACACAUUUGUUAGUUCGAAACUAGAGUACAAAUCAAUGUGAAUUUUGAGAAAUACUUCACUUAUUCUUUAAUUAUUUGAAACGUGAAGUUUCGCGAAAUCAUUCUGCAACUGCCACGUUCUUAUUUGCAUUUAUUAUAUCAUUUCAUUGCAGCCAGGUAACUGCUAAUGUGGAUUCCCCUCAGUGGAGCUGUUAUUUUGCUGUUACCAUAUCACAAUUAAAAUCUCAUUGUUCACGAAGUGUAUGAAUAAAUGAAUAUUUUAACCUGGAAA